rnacentral:rRNA from 1 species
GACGAACGCUGGCGGCGUGCUUAACACAUGCAAGUCGAACGAUGAAGCCUUAGCUUGCUUUGGUGGAUUAGUGGCGAACGGGUGAGUAACACGUGAGCAACGUGCCCAGGACUCUGGAAUAACCGCGGGAAACCGUGGCUAAUACCGGAUAGGUGCCGAGGCCGCAUGGUCUUCGGUUGGAAAGUUUUUGCGGUUCUGGAUCGGCUCACGGCCUAUCAGCUUGUUGGUGGGGGAAUGGCCUACCAAGGCGACGACGGGUAGCCGGCCUGAGAGGGUGACCGGCCACACUGGGACUGAGACACGGCCCAGACUCCUACGGGAGGCAGCAGUGGGGAAUAUUGCACAAUGGGCGCAAGCCUGAUGCAGCAACGCCGCGUGGGGGAUGACGGCCUUCGGGUUGUAAACCUCUUUUAGUAGGGAAGAAGCGCAAGUGACGGUACCUGCAGAAAAAGCACCGGCUAACUACGUG